rnacentral:rRNA from 1 species
UACGAAGGGGGCUAGCGUUGCUCGGAAUCACUGGGCGUAAAGGGUGCGUAGGCGGGUCUUAAGUCAGGGGUGAAAUCCUGGAGCUCAACUCCAGAACUGCCUUCGAUACUGGAGAGCUUGAGUUCGGGAGAGGUGAGUGGAACUGCGAGUGUAGAGGUGAAAUUCGUAGAUAUUCGCAAGAACACCAGUGGCGAAGGCGGCUCACUGGCCCGAUACUGACGCUGAGGUGCGAAAGCGUGGGGAGCAAACAGG